rnacentral:rRNA from 1 species
CCUACGGGAGGCAGCAGUGGGGGAUAUUGCACAAUGGGGGGAACCCUGAUGCAGCGACGCCGCGUGGGUGAAGGAGCGUUUCGGCGCGUAAAGCCCUAUCGGCAGGGAAGAAGGAGGACGGUACCUGACUAAGAAGCCCCGGCUAACUACGUGCCAGCAGCCGCGGUAAUACGUAGGGGGCAAGCGUUAUCCGGAUUUAUUGGGUUUAAAGGGGGCGCAGGCGGUCCGUAAAGUCAGCGGUCAAAGCCCGGGGCACAACCCCGGCCCGCCGUUGAAACUGGCAGUCUCGAGUGGGAGAGAGGUAGGCGGAAUGCGCGGUGUAGCGGUGAAAUGCGUAGAUAUCGGGAAGAACACCGAUGGCGAAGGCGGCAUGCCGGCUCCACACUGACGCUGAGGCACGAAAGCGUGGGUAUCGAACAGGAUUAGAUACCCGAGUAGUC